GAUGGUGCAAUUAUCAUGUUGUUGAGCAUUUCCUUAUUGACGUGCACCACACAUAGCGUCUAAUCUCCAAAAUGUAUGUCAAAGCAGUUUCUCGGUUUCUGACGUGUUUAGAGAGCCUGUCCUGCAGCAUGAGUCAUGUUUCUGCACCAGAACUCCAACUCAACAGCCAUAGGACGUUUUAGGGAUUUCCUCAGGAUCAUAAAGUCUAAGUUGCCAGACAGGUUUACUUAAAGGUAGGUUUAUUAUCCAGUGCAUUGUUUAGACACUAUAAAAUUCAUAUAUUGAUGAAAAACAUUCACUAUCUUUUACAUUAAGCCAGUACUAACUUAAGAUGAGAAAUUAAUUCAAAAAGUGAUUUUAAACUGUGAGAUGUUUAUCAUCAAACUCAGAUUAUGAUAUAGGAUUUUUUUAAAAAACUUUAUUGGAAAAGACACUAACACACUUCAAACCCAAAUAUAUACAUACCCUAAACAUUUUGCAGUCUGCAUUGAAUUCUCGUAUAAUCCUCCACACAUAACAAGUCAGAUAACUAAAAGUAAGUAUAAUAAGAGGCUAAAUUUGUACAUUUUGCAUAGUUACGGAGAUAACACUGUGUAACAAACUUUUAGUUUAACCAAGAACUAUUCAGACUAAUUU
rnacentral:lncRNA from 1 species